GAUGAACGCUGGCGGCGUGCCUAAUACAUGCAAGUCGAACGCUGAAGGCAGGCUCUUGCUCUUUCCGGGUGAGUUGCGGACGGGUGAGUAACGCGUAGGUAACCUGCCUGGUAGCGGGGGAUAACUAUUGGAAACGAUAGCUAAUACCGCAUAACAGUAGAUGUUGCAUGAUAUCUACUUAAAAGGUGCAAUUGCACUACUAUCAGAUGGACUUGCGUUGUAUUAGCUAGUUGGUGAGGUAACGGCUCACCAAGGCGACGAUACAUAGCCGACCUGAGAGGGUGAUCAGCCACACUGGGACGGUGACACGGCACAGACGCCUUCAGGAAGCGGCAGGAGGGAAACGUCGGCAAGAGGCGGAAAUCUGACCGAACAACGCCGCAGGAGUGAAGAAGGUUGUCGGAUCGGAAAGCACGGUUGUAAGGGAAGAACGAGUGUGAGAGUGGAAAGUUCACACUGUGACGGUACCUUACCAGAAAGCGACGGCUAACUACGUG
rnacentral:rRNA from 1 species